UAAUAAGGCGGUCGUGAUUUGUGGAAUGCUUGCGGCGACCAUAAACAAACAGCUAAAACGCCGAGUGGUUUUCCCG
rnacentral:ncRNA from 2 species